UUUUGCCUGAUCAAUAUCACAUACACAAUCAAGAAACAAUAUACAAGUCCGAAAACAGUAAUAUCAAAAUUCCACAUUAGCUCAACAGAAAAAGCUCAUACGCGAUCUAUUCCGCUAUCAAUAUCCAGUUUAAAUUGAAAAUUUCCAUCUUAUC